ACUGUCCGAGAGAACUCAGUCUGG
rnacentral:piRNA from 1 species